GUCUAUGGCCAUGCCACCCUGAACAUGCCCGAUUUCAUCUGAUUUCAGAAACUAAAGCAGGGUCGGGCCUGGUUAGUACUUGGAUGGGAGACCACCUAGGACUACUAGGUGCCGUAGGCU
rnacentral:rRNA from 1 species